UACGUAGGGUGCGAGCGUUAAUCGGAAUUACUGGGCGUAAAGCGUGCGCAGGCGGUUUUGUAAGCCAGAUGUGAAAUCCCCGGGCUUAACCUGGGAAUGGCAUUUGGGACUGCAAGGCUGGAGUGCGGCAGAGGAGACUGGAAUUCCUGGUGUAGCAGUGAAAUGCGUAGAUAUCGGAAGGAACACCGGUGGCGAAGGCGGAUGCCUGGCCCAAUACUGACGCUGAGGCACGAAAGCGUGGGUAGCGAACAGG
rnacentral:rRNA from 1 species